GACGAACGCUGGCGGCGUGCUUAACACAUGCAAGUCGAACGAUGAAGCUGGAGCUUGCUCUGGUGGAUUAGUGGCGAACGGGUGAGUAACACGUGAGAAAUCUGCCCUUGACUCUGGGAUAACUGCGGGAAACUGUAGCUAAUACCGGAUACUUUCCCUGGUGGGCAUCCACUGGGGAAGAAAGAAUUUCGGUCAAGGAUGAUCUCGCGGCCUAUCAGCUUGUUGGUGAGGUAAUGGCUCACCAAGGCGACGACGGGUAGCCGGCCUGAGAGGGUGACCGGCCACACUGGGACUGAGACACGGCCCAGACUCCUACGGGAGGCAGCAGUGGGGAAUAUUGCACAAUGGGCGCAAGCCUGAUGCAGCAACGCCGCGUGAGGGAUGAAGGCCUUCGGGUUGUAAACCUCUUUUAGCAGGGACGAAGCGCAAGUGACGGUAGGUGCAGAAGAAGGACCGGCCAACUACGUGCCAGCAGCCGCAGUAA
rnacentral:rRNA from 1 species